rnacentral:rRNA from 1 species
CGCUCUCUGGAAUUUGCUAUCAGUAUGUGUUCAGCGCACUGAUAUUUUACUUACAUAGAGAGUCGGACCUGCCCAGUGACUAAAAUGUUAAACGGCCGCGGUACUCUGACCGUGCAAAGGUAGCAUAAUCAUUUGCCUUUUAAUUGGAGGCUUGUAUGAAUGGUUUGACGAGAACUAAGCUGUCUCUCCUUAAAUAUGAAAAAAUUAAUUUUUAGGUGAAGAAGCCUAAAUUUAAUUGAGGGACAAGAAGACCCCUUUGAGCUUUAGUAAUUUAGUAAAAAAUUUAUGGCGAAUAUCAAUGAAGUAAUAUAGGUAUUUUUAUUGUUACAUUUAAUGUAAAUGUUAUUUAUUAAAAAUCUUUAGUUGGGGCGACUGAGGAACAUAAAAAGCUUCCUUUAAUUUUAUGGUAAUAGGAUAUCAAGCUUAUAUAUAGAUCCAGUAUUUACUGAUCAAAGGACAAAGUUACCAUGGGGAUAACAGCGUAAUCCUUCUAAAGAGUUCUUAUCGAAGGAAGGGUUUGCGACCUCGAUGUUGGACUAAGAUAUCCUAGAGGUGUAGAAGCUUCUGAUGGUUAGUCUGUUCGACUAUUAAAAUCUU